CAUGCAGUCGAGGGGCAGCAUGGUCUUAGCUUGCUAAGGCCGAUGGCGACCGGCGCACGGGUGAGUAACACGUAUCCAACCUGCCGUCUACUCUUGGACAGCCUUCUGAAAGGAAGAUUAAUACAAGAUGGCAUCAUGAGUCCGCAUGUUCACAUGAUUAAAGGUAUUCCGGUAGACGAUGGGGAUGCGUUCCAUUAGAUAGUAGGCGGGGUAACGGCCCACCUAGUCUUCGAUGGAUAGGGGUUCUGAGAGGAAGGUCCCCCACAUUGGAACUGAGACACGGUCCAAACUCCUACGGGAGGCAGCAGUGAGGAAUAUUGGUCAAUGGACGAGAGUCUGAACCAGCCAAGUAGCGUGAAGGAUGACUGCCCUAUGGGUUGUAAACUUCUUUUAUACGGGAAUAAAGUGAGCCACGUGUGGCUUUUUGUAUGUACCGUAUGAAUAAGGAUCGGCUAACUCCGUGCCAGCAGCCGCGGUAAUACGGAGGAUCCGAGCGUUAUCCGGAUUUAUUGGGUUUAAAGGGAGCGUAGGCGGGUUGUUAAGUCAGUUGUGAAAGUUUGCGGCUCAACCGUAAAAUUGCAGUUGAUACUGGCGACCUUGAGUGCAACAGAGGUAGACGGAAUUCGUGGUGUAGCGGUGAAAUGCUUAGAUAUCACGAAGAACUCCGAUUGCGAAGGCAGCUUACUGGAUUGUAACUGACGCUGAUGCUCGAAAGUGUGGGUAUCAAACAGGAUUAGAUACCCUGGUAGUCCACACAGUAAACGAUGAAUACUCGCUGUUGGCGAUAUACGGUCAGCGGCCAAGCGAAAGCAUUAAGUAUUCCACCUGGGGAGUACGCCGGCAACGGUGAAACUCAAAGGAAUUGACGGGGGCCCGCACAAGCGGAGGAACAUGUGGUUUAAUUCGAUGAUACGCGAGGAACCUUACCCGGGCUUAAAUUGCAACUGACUGAACCGG
rnacentral:rRNA from 1 species